rnacentral:rRNA from 1 species
UUGACAAUUUUGACCUCAAAUCAGGUAAGACUACCCGCUGAACUUAAGCAUACAAUAAGCGGAGGA